UUAGAGGAAGUAAAAGUCGUAACAAGGUCUCCGUUGGUGAACCAGCGGAGGGAUCAUUACCGAGUUUACAACUCCCAAACCCCUGUGAACAUACCUAUACGUUGCCUCGGCGGAUCAGCCCGCGCCCUGUAAAACGGGACGGCCCGCCCGAGGACCCUAAACUCUGUUUUUAGUGGAACUUCUGAGUAAAACAAACAAAUAAAUCAAAACUUUCAACAACGGAUCUCUUGGUUCUGGCAUCGAUGAAGAACGCAGCAAAAUGCGAUAAGUAAUGUGAAUUGCAGAAUUCAGUGAAUCAUCGAAUCUUUGAACGCACAUUGCGCCCGCCAGUAUUCUGGCGGGCAUGCCUGUUCGAGCGUCAUUUCAACCCUCAAGCUCAGCUUGGUGUUGGGACUCGCGGUAACCCGCGUUCCCCAAAUCGAUUGGCGGUCACGUCGAGCUUCCAUAGCGUAGUAAUCAUACACCUCGUUACUGGUAAUCGUCGCGGCCACGCCGUAAAACCCCAACUUCUGAAUGUUGACCUCGGAUCAGGUAGGAAUACCCGCUGAACUUAAGCAUAUCAAUAAGA
rnacentral:rRNA from 1 species